GCGAGCGUGGCGGAACGGCAGACGCGCUAGGUUCAGGACCUAGUGGGCUUAACGCCCGUGGAGGUUCAAGUCCUCUCGCUCGCACCA
rnacentral:tRNA from 1 species